UCUGAUACAUCGUCGUAACUCACGCAUCAACUCGCGGGAUCCAUCCGAAACCCACGCCUGCAUCGCCAUCAUGUACGCAGCAGCCGCCGCCUUUGCUCCUCCUCAUGCCCAGAUUAUGGCAGAUGAAUCAAGGGUGCAUGCUCAAGGAGGACCCCGGGAUCUUAAGGGAAGUGUAUGCCGGAGAUCAGCGGCGGACCGGAUUUGUUGUGUGGCGUCUAGAGGUAUAGAUGUCAUCAAAUAUAUCAAAGGAAGAACGAGGUUGGUUUAUAUAUGAGCUGAGCAGUGAUGGCACAAUCCGGUGAGCGCUCAGGCCUGGGUUUGUAUUGUUCUCGGCUUGAGUAUGUGGGACUCAAAAUUUGAUGGAUAUGAGGUUUCUGUACUAACCAUCAUGAAAUAAGGUGUUGCAUCGUCUACUAAUAAUUUAUCUGGACAACCUGCUCAGGUGUUAUCUAACAAGGUAAAAUAUUCUCCGAAUGAGAAUGGCCAACAGAAUGAUAGUCUUAGCACUGAAGCACGCAUCGGGAUAAAGCUGGGGUUGAGGGGUAAGUUUUCUCUUGGCAACCUGUCACAAGGUAAUCUCUAUUCCCUGCAUCCAGGACUGCUACUAGAACAUGUCGUUCCAAGUUACAACAAUGAUCUUUCUACUCAUGAGUAGUCCUUCUUUAUGCUGAUGAAUUUUGAUGCAUACUAUGUGCAGACAAUAAGGCCUCCUCCGGCAUUAAGAAAGUACAAUCAAGUAGCAGUUGAAGUGAUCCGUUCAAAAACAAGUAAUAUCUCUAAGUUAUUGCACUAGAAUGCAUGCAUAGUAAAUACCAUGACCUUACAAAUUUACAUUUGGUCCCUUCUCCUUUCCUUAGGAACUUCGCAGAAGCUAUACAUCUGCAAAUAGAAGUUUAGACACAGCUCCAUGAACAGCUAUAGGUCCCUUCUCUGUUCCUGUUUUCAAGCUCUAAUUGGAUGGUGUUGUUGUUGGCCUAUCUUUUUUUAUAGUAAGAGCAUUCUUUUUCUAGCUUCACAAUAAUUACCGCCCUUUGUGUGGCUAUGAACCCAAAUCCAUAUUUAAAUGGGUGCUAAAUGUUUUUGCGGCACGGUGGACUUUCUAAUCUGGUCAUAUGUAGUUAGUGUACAGUCUGGUCCUUUUUCUGUAGUGUGAGAUGUACAUAUAAUGUUCUGUUUGAGGUGUUAUCUAAGAAAAGAUAUAUAUCACCCUACCUGAUUAUAAGCCCAAUGGGUGUAGUUUUUAUUUAGAGUUUACAAGGUUUUACCUUUAUUCUGUGGGUCAUGGUUGAUAUAAUUUUGGUAUUGUGGGUGUAACCUUUGUCUGUGCCUUUCCUAAGUACGGAGUAUGUUCUAAAUCUGAAAAAUGCAUUGCUGGGUGAGGUUGAUAGGUGUACUGGUUUUCCCGCUUCUUGAUCAGUUUGAGGCCAUGGGCAUGGCAUAUUUUUUAUAUUUGCAUGG